AGCAGUCGCCGCGGUAAUACGAAGGGGGCUAGCGUUGCUCGGAAUUACUGGGCGUAAAGGGCGCGUAGGCGGACAGUUAAGUCGGGGGUGAAAGCCCGGGGCUCAACCUCGGAAUUGCCUUCGAUACUGGCUGUCUUGAGUGUGAGAGAGGUGUGUGGAACUCCGAGUGUAGAGGUGAAAUUCGUAGAUAUUCGGAAGAACACCAGUGGCGAAGGCGACACACUGGCUCACUACUGACGCUGAGGCGCGAAAGCGUGGGGAGCAAACAGGAUUAGAUACCCCGGUAGUCCCUGUCUCUUAUAA
rnacentral:rRNA from 1 species